AUCUCUAUUCCACUUUUUUUUUUAAGUACCCUAGGAAUCCUUACAUGCAGCUGUGAACGCAUCAGUCAAUCAGAGACAAGUUAGCAAAUGAAACAGCAAUUAAAGUAAACGAACGAGGAUUUCUUUUGCGUUUACCUCACAAAAUCAGAACUUUGGCCACGCUAAGGAGAGGACAUUAUUCAAAAGGAGACAAGAAAAAGUAAAGACUAACACCACAGCUCUCCAGCGAUACAGCACAAUAAGAUGCAGUAGCGGCAUGAUGUGGUGGCGGCAGUCCGCCCUCCCAUGCAGACCACCACUACAGCUCCAAAGAAUCCUAGGGGAAACCCUGCAGUGCGAAGGUGUCGUCUAUGUUGCUCUUCCUCGCCGGUCUUCGCCAACAAGAGUCUUCAAUCAAGAUUCUGCACCUUCAGGUGAAAAACACAUGGGAAUGGAAUGUAAAGUACGCACAAGUUGACUCACCUUCUGCUGUCAGUGAACAGAAGCAGACUGCUGCUGGGGAGGAAUGCUGGCUAAAAAGUAGGCAAUCUCAUUGGGGAGGUUGAGCAGGAGGGAGAAGGACGUGUAGAAAGUGAAAAAGGGGAGAGAAGACUUUGAGCUGUCUCGCACCGUCGCCCUCGGGCAACGCUGAAUGAGAGGUUGCAGUUCAGGGGUCUGUCUGACACGAGAGGAGGAGCUCCAGCCCAGGGGGGGAACCCAACACUUCAUCCUUCUUCAAGCAACUACAGGACAGGAUGAGGUACCAAGGCAGGGAAGUGGACAUUGAAGGAAGGGUGCGUUUGGUGAUGGAGAGCACCCUAACGGCCCGCGACAGGGUUGGGGUGCAGGACUUUGUCUUGCUGGAGAACCACAACAGCGAGGCAGCCUUUAUAGAGAACCUGCGGCGGCGCUUCAGGGAAAACCUCAUUUAUACGUACAUAGGAUCAGUGUUGGUGUCGGUGAACCCUUACAAGGAGCUAGAGAUUUACUCCAAGCCACAGAUGGAACGCUACAGAGGGGUCAGCUUCUAUGAAAUAUCACCUCACAUCUACGCGGUGUCAGACAACACGUACCGGGCCAUGCGGACCACAUGGAGGGAUCAGUGUAUUCUUAUAUCGGGUGAGAGUGGCUCUGGUAAAACAGAAGCUUCCAAAAAGAUCCUCCUCUACUAUGCUGUCACCUGCCCCACUCAUGAUCACAUGACCACCCUCGGAGACCGCCUACUCCAGUCCAACCCUAUUCUGGAGGCAUUCGGCAAUGCAAAAACACUAAGGAAUGACAACUCCAGUCGUUUUGGAAAAUAUAUGGAUGUUCAGUUUGACUUCAAGGGGGCCCCAGUUGGUGGCCAUAUCCUCAACUACCUGCUGGAGAAAUCUCGUGUAGUCCACCAGAACCACGGCGAAAGAAACUUUCACAUCUUCUAUCAGCUUCUAGACGGCGGGGGCAGUGACCUGCUUCAGAUGCUUGACCUUGAACGAAACCCUCAGAACUACCAAUAUCUGGUCAAGGGAAGCUGUUCCAAAGUCAGCUCCAUUAGUGACAAGACGAACUGGAAAGCUGUGAUGAACGCACUGCUUGUUCUUGGCUUCACUGAGGACGACGUGCAGACUUUGUUGAACAUCAUCGCCAGCGUUCUCCAUCUGGGAAACAGUCAGUUUGGAGAGGGAGAGGAAGGCGAAACGCACAUUACCACUGAGACGCCAAUAGCAAACGUUGCAAAGCUGCUGGGUGUCAAUGCCUCGGCCCUGAGUGAGGCUCUCACUCAUAAGAAGCUCACCACCAAAGAGGAGGAGGUGAUCAUCCCACUCAACUUUGAGCAGGCAGUGGCAGCCCGAGACGCUUUAGCCAAAGCAGUCUAUGGUCGCACCUUCACUUGGUUGGUGGAGAAGAUCAACCAAUCGCUUGCUCUAAAGGAUGACAUGUACCACAGCAACAAAGCCUUCCCAGUCAUAGGGCUUCUAGACAUCUAUGGCUUUGAGGUCCUACAGAACAACAGUUUUGAGCAGUUCUGCAUUAACUACUGCAGUGAGAAGCUCCAGCAGCUCUUUAUUGAGCUCACCCUCAGAUCUGAGCAAGAGGAAUACACAACAGAGGGAAUAGCAUGGGAGAUGGUGGAGUACUUUGACAACAAGAUCAUUUGCGACCUGAUCGAGGAGAAGCACAAGGGCAUCAUCUCCAUUCUGGACGAAGAGUGCCUGAGACCUGGAGAGACGAGUGACGCCUCAUUUUUGGAGAAACUGGAGGACACAUUUGGCAGUCAUCCGCAUUUUGUCACCCACAAGCUGGCGAAUGGGAAAACUCGGAAGGUAAUGAGUAGAGAGGAGUUCAGGCUGCUGCACUAUGCUGGGGAAGUCAACUACAAUGUCAACGGUUUCCUGGACAAGAACAACGACUCUAUGAACAGGAACCUAAAAGAGGUCAUGUGUCAGUCAGACAACCGGAUCAUAAGUCACUGCUUCUCCAUAGAGGAAGUUACAGACCAGAAACGCCCACAGAUGGCUGCCACUCACUUUAAAAACAGCCUGUUGAAACUCCUGGAGAUCCUCAUGACCAAAGAGCCGUCAUAUGUGCGCUGUAUUAAACCUAAUGAUGCCAAGCAGCCAGGUCAUUUUGAUGAAGUUCUGGUCAGACAUCAGGUGAGGUACUUGGGCCUGAUGGAGAACCUAAGGGUCAGAAGAGCUGGCUUUGCCUACAGGCGCAGCUUUGAAGCCUUUCUGCAAAGGUACAAGCCUCUGUGUCCUGAAACGUGGCCCAACUGGGAUGGCAGGCUUGAAGACGGCGUGGCCACACUGGUCAACCACCUGGGCUACCAACCAGAGGAGUACAAACUGGGCAGGUCCAAAAUAUUCAUUCGUUUGCCCAAAACUCUUUUUCUGACUGAAGACGCACUCCAAGCCAAAAAGCCAGAGAUAGCUUUGACCCUGCAGACGUCAUGGAGGGGCUACAGGGAGAGAGCCAAAUACAAACGAAUCAGACACGCAAUCAUAGUGAUUCAGUCUGCAUGGCGAGGGAUGAAAGGACGCCGGCGUGCAAAGAGACGUCGACAGGCUGCUGAGUUGAUACGCAGGUUCAUCAAAGGCUUCAUCUACCGUCAUGAGGACUACUGCCCAGAGAAUGAAUACUUCUUGGAUCAUGUGCGCUACUCCUUCCUCAUGAAGCUCAGCAAAAAUCUACCCACAAGUGUUUUGGACAAAAGCUGGCUGGCAUCUCCUCCCUCUCUUACUGAGGCCUCAGAGCACCUGCGAAAACUGAACAUGCGAAACAUGGUCAUGAAGUAUUGCAACAGGAUCCAACCUGAAUGGAAAAAUCAAAUGACGCAAAAGGUUGUUGCCAGUGAGAUCUUCAAGGAUCAGAAGGACAACUACCCUCAGAGCGUUGGCAGGCUGUUUUUGGACACCAGGAUCGAACGGGAGCAGAUCAAUCUCAAAGUUCUCCAGACUCUCGGUAGCGACAAAGUGCUGUAUGGCGUCCCCGUAACAAAGUAUGACAGAAGGGGUUUCAAGCCUCGACCUCGGCAGCUCCUUCUCUCCAACACCUUUGCUGUGCUGGUGGACAGGACCAAGAUCAAGCAGAGGAUCGACUACGCGACUCUCGGAGGUAUCUCUGUGAGCUCUCUCAGCGAUGGGAUGGUCAUUCUGCACAUGCCCAGUGAGGACAAGAAGCAAAAGGGCGACGUGCUGCUGCACUGCAACCACGUGAUAGAGCUGGUGACAAAACUAGCUCUGAUAGCCCGCAUGUUAAACUAUAUCAACAUCAAGCCUGGCAGUAUUAGGUUUGCAGGGGCUCGAGGCGAUGAGGGAAUUGUAGAUUUCGUCAGGGGCUCCGAGCUGAAGGUGGCCAAGGGCAAAAGAGGACAUCUGCUUGUGACUGCUCCUCGGAUCAACACCACAUGAAGAACCACAAAACCAAGCAAAUGCUUACUAACACUUUUCGCUUACUGGAGAGUUAAGCCUCCUUGCCACCACAAACGCACCGUAUAUAUUCCAAAUCCCGCAUACAAUCAUAACAUAUUUCCUCAUAUAGUGAUCAGGGGAUUACCACACGUCUAUUUGGCGUAAGGCACUUGAAAAUGGGGGAGGCCUAUAUAAUAUGUUAAUAUAAAAAUAUUAAUAUAAUAUCAUUGAAAAAAAUUAUAUCUGUAUUGCAUGAUGUCAUCAUAAUUUAAAGGACACUCCUCAGUUGUGUUUGCCCUGCAUGGAAAAAAUCUAGUGUAAAGGUCAUUCUCUAACUUUCUUCAUUCGCUGUCCAACAAAGGCCUUCUCUUCUCACUAGCAAACAUCACAAUAGUCAGUACAUACCUGUCAGUCACCGACAAACUACCGUAUUUUCCCCUUUUGCCCCUGUUUUAGGCCAUGACCACAUGAACACAGAUAUUUUCAAAAACAUACAUUUCCCCUACUGUGGUGUUCAAAAACGUUCACCCACAUGAGUGGAGUUUUGAAACAAUCUGUGGCCACAUAAAAGCACAUUUAUCAGCCAAUCAUCAGCCUGUAAAAGCUUCCAAAGCUGAUAUACUGUAUACAGUAAAUAUGAGAUAAUGUCACACAUUGCUCAUGACGCAAACCAAAACGGUCCGUUUUAAACGUCCACACACAAACGCUGAAGCCGGAGUUGUAAAAAAUCGAAUUAAGGACGAAAUUAUUUAAAUGAUUGCUGUUUCGUGGCUGAAUAUGCCCCAUUAUUCGUCAACAAAUAUUGAAAUACAAGUCAUAUGUUGUAUUCUGGUCACUCGUAGUCAGCAAUGUCACAUUGAUGAGACAUUACCUUCAAUUACAUCACCUUAACAAUGCAUGGAGUCAGCCAUGGCAUGUCUGACAUGAUAGAGUGAGAAGUUCUCCUCCCAUUCCGUGUGGAAGUGGUACAUUUUUGGCUUCUUACUUUGUCAAACUUUGACAAAUAAAUUGGAGGCUAACUAGUUAGUUCGGUAGCCUGCCCACUUAUCCACAUAUCACGCUUGGGUCUGGAACCAGUUAGCCGCGAUAAACGAGGGACGACCGUAUCCGUAGUCGUGUGGACAUGGCCUUAAUAGUUUCCCGUAUUUUUCCCAUAUUUAAAAAUUUCUUUUUUUAUUUUUAUUUUAUUUUUCAUUUUUUUAUUUUAACUUUCAUUUUAACUGUCAUGGAAAAAAUGCUCUCCAGGUACAACAUCAUAAUACAUCCUGUAGCUGGCAAAGUCAGGCCUUCAUAUACUGUGAGUAAAUAAAAGAAUCAUGCCGGGUUGGAGGUGGGGGUGCUGAUGCAAAUUCAUGUGGAAGAUCAGCAUUUUUCCUUAUUUUGCCUCAUUUUUCUUUUAUUUCACCAUGUAAAUGUUGACAGGUAUGGAUUACUGUUACUCUGGAACACCGAGCCUUACAUGUGCCACGUGUGGUGCGGGCUGCGGUGAACAAGUCUACCACGACUGCAGCUAUUGGAACCUCGGCAUAUUUGUUGAAGUGCGCAAUUAAUUGAGGCCACUAUUUGAGGAAAUAUGCAUGACAUCAUUCAUUGCGUGGAAGAAUUACAUGAAGUCCUCACAUGUUUCUACUUUUUAUUGACAGCCUUAUACAAACAUAUCCUUACUCUAUAAAAUAUUAAAUAUGUAAAACACUGUAUCUCUCUGUAAGAGAAAUAAAACAACAUGGAAAUAAAUAAGUCAAAUAAAUAGCAAAUAUCUUAUUCUUUGGAAAGUCCAGUAGAUUAAGAGCUUGGCUGACAAAACAGGAUGUUGACUUUUGUUGUUGUGUUGUGGGAUUUUAGCACUAAUUUACAGUCAGAGGCAAGGCAGAAACAGUGGGAAAUACCCAGAAAAGCCCUUUCACUUCACAACACAACACCGAAAGCUCUUUUUUUUGCCCAGAGUUUCUAUGUUUUAGAAGCCAGAAGGAGGAAGUCACGGGCCAGCCUGGUGAGGUAAAGGUCCAGAUCCCGCAGAAUGAUGUAACCUUCCACUCGGCUCUCCCACACCGUUUUAGAGUUAUUGGCUUGGCUGGAAGGUGUCCGAGCGGUGGGGAAAGUUAGUUUCCUGCCCUUUAUGUGGCUCAUCUAGACAUUGAAGCGAAAUGUCAACAUUUCAUGUGCACGGUGUUAACGAGGAUAAAAAUGCGUGUGAGCAUACCUGACUGCUGACUUGGCUCAUCAGGUCCCUCACGUCCAGCUCAAUGUGGGUGAUGCUCUGAGAUAAAGUGCUGUGCACAUGCCUCUUAUCUUUUUCCUCCUUCUCCAGACCUUUCCUCUUCCACUCCAGCAUAUUCUUGUAGCUUUGCAAGUCUGACAGAGCGGCAUGUAGUCGUUCCCAAUCCUGGACGCACAACAAAGUGUAACCAAGAAGUCGAAUAAAGGUAACUUUUAGAUAAAUAAAUAAACAGUCACUGACGGGAAGCUGGAGCCAGCUGUAGAAGUCUGUAGAAAGCACUGGUAGGUCCUUUAAAUGACCACCUCUGUGCUCAAAGUGCUUGUUUCCUAACUGGUGCUCCUUCUGGUGAGAAAAUCAGAACAUUUGAGUCCACAGUGAAGCUGCGCAUGCAGGCACAAGGUGGCCAUCUUUUGGAGUUGCUCACCACUUACAUAUUUAUUCAGCAGCUGCUGGACACGGCUGCGGGUGGACCUCACGAGGAGGAAGGAGUCAUUGUAUUUAGCCUUGAGGAUGCCAGGAGGUGGAGCUGAGGGCUCGGCACACUUCAGGAUGCAACAAAGAAUGACGAGAGCACAGCACCAAAGAGUCAUCUGCAAAUAAAACAGGUAUUUACAAAAGGCAAGAAGUACAUUUGGAAUACAGGAGGUGAACAAAUAUACUGCAGCUGACGUGAAACUACUGAGGGGUAGGAUUAAAUAAGCCUCGCUUCUUCCUACUCCUUUUUGGACAUGCGGAACUGUGUGCAUGUUCAAGAUGAAUUAAGCCAUUACCAUAUUUAGUGGAACCUCAGUUAGUGGCCGCCCAGGUUAGCGUGUUUUUUGGUUAAAAUUAAACAUUUAUGCUAUAAUUUUGCCUCGGUUAGCGCACAUUUUCUGGUCAGCGUGUUGUCGUGUUGCUACUAUAAUACACUGAGUGAGUCCA